ACACAAUACAAAAAAAAAAAAACAACAAAAACACAAAAUAUGUAGGCUAUCAAAAAACAAGUGGUGAGAAAAAACUGUGCCAAUAGGCACCCGCUCAGCAUUUAUCGUGACAUGCUCAAAAGGGCAAGUCACGAAGCUGGUCUUCCGCGGACGCCCUUGCUUAUUGCGCAACCCUUGGAGAAGACACCGUCUAAAAUAAUGUAACCGUAAAUUAUAAUUAGUGAAAGUUCGAUGUCUCUCCAAGGGGCACGCAACGCAGGGUUGUGUGUAUAAUUCGGUUACAGUACGCAUCAAGAAUAAAAAAAAAAUACAAAUAACUUAUCAAAACAACACAAGAGAAGAAUAAAAAUAAAAAAACAUAACAAGAAACAACAACAACAAAACCUCGAAAAUCGAAUUAUCGAUUAAUCGCACAGAUGAUAUCGUAAGUAUCGUAAUAAAUUAAAAUUAAUCGGCUUGACAACUCCAGUGUGUACUAAUUAUUUAUUUAAGGUAAUUGGCUGAUUAUUCCAAAGAAAGACAUUCCAAGUAAAUAAUGCAAAAUACUGUUCAUCGAUAAAGAUCGCAUUACAGCAACUUUUUAAUGCCACGGUUAAAUACACGAUUAAAUACACGACAGCGGUGGCAAAAUGAAAGUUCCCAAAGCGGUGUAAAAAAAAAAAAAAAAAACGUUAAAAUAAAGAGAAAAAAACUGUCACGGAGAGAAAAAAGGUUACCCAGCAAAUUAAAUAUUCAGAACAGCCAUUAAUUUUACAAAUUUUCGCGAGAGACGCCAUUUAUGCCAUGUGUUUGCCACGUAAUAAAGCGAGAAAAGCUCUUUAUUAUUGAAAUUGCGGCAGGCGACAGCAGGAAGAGAGAGAAAAUGUCUCGCGUGGAUCCACCCCGCUCGCUCGUACCUAGCCCGGCAAACACGCCGCACCGCACUUCCCGGAUUGUUUUAGGGUGCGCCAAAAAGCCGGGGAAACCGCCAGUCGAAGCUCAACCGGACGCUAGAAAUUAUUUAUGCUGGGACACGCCUGCCAACGCACGCGCACGUCGUGUACAUCCCCCUGGCACGCAAUGGCGGGGGCAGGUCGUUCCAGCACCGCGACGCAGCGAAUCUGAAGGAGCCUCGAAAUGCCACAGUGCGAUGUCUUGGAGUAGCAAAGAUGUGGGUGCACUGCCUCCUUGGAUAUCCGCUGUGGACCCAAUCCAGCUUUAGGAAUAGGUAUUUAGGUUUCUUUGUAUUAAUGACUCCAAACAUCAAGGUGGCUAAAUGAAGUCUUCUACGUGCCUCCAUCUUCAUCAUAUUUGCGGCGUUAAGAUAAGGGGUGAUAUGAGAGCGAGGCGGAACCGAAAAACAGAACCGCACACAUGCAUUCUGUACUCUCUGGAUAAGUCUGGAUGUUCUUGACAGAAGGCACGGACCGUAAACAGAGUCGCAGUAAUUAAAUCUGCUGAGGACCAAGGACUCACAGAGUAGAAUUCUGAGUUUCUCGCUCAGGUAGGGUCGCAACUUGUACAGGAGUUUGAGCCGAUAGAGACUAUUUCUUACACACUCCGCUACAUAAUUUUCAAAUUUCAGAUUACAAUCCAUAACAAGUCCCAGAUUUCUGGCUGCGUCAACCCUUGCGAUAGGUUCUCCGUCUAUAUUAAUGUUUAGAGUUACAUCUUUGAGUUUAGCAAUGUUUUUGGGUGUCCCUAUAACCAAGAACUGGGACUUUUUUGGGUUAAUCUUUAAACAAUUUGAGCUGCUCCAGUCAGAGAUGCUGUUCAGGUCUUUGUUCACCUUAGCCACAGCAACGGCAAAUUCAGCCGGUGCAAAAGAGAGGUACACCUGCAAGUCAUCGGCAUACAGAUGGUGAUGACAAUUUGCGAUAGUGUUAGUGAUGUCGGCACUGUAUAGGAUGUACAGGAUUGGUCCCAGAAUGGACCCUUGAGGAACCCCGCGAGUAACCAUUUGAGGUUGAGAUCUCAUCGAAGUGCCGUCCACCCUUCUCAACUCCACACACUGCAGUCGCUGGGUCAAAUAACUGUGGAACCACUUAACUGAACCAUUGUCGAGGCCAUAAUAGGUUAGUUUGGAUAGCAGCAGAGAAAUAUUAAUUGAGUCGAAAGCCCGAGAAAAGUCCAGU